GAUGAACGCUGGCGGCGUGCCUAAUACAUGCAAGUCGAGCGAACGGACGAGAAGCUUGCUUCUCUGAUGUUAGCGGCGGACGGGUGAGUAACACGUGGAUAACCUACCUAUAAGACUGGGAUAACUUCGGGAAACCGGAGCUAAUACCGGAUAAUAUUUUGAACCGCAUGGUUCAAAAGUAAAAGACGGUCUUGCUGUCACUUAUAGAUGGAUCCGCGCUGCAUUAGCUAGUUGGUAAGGUAACGGCUUACCAAGGCAACGAUGCAUAGUCGACCUGAGAGGGUGAUCGGCCACACUGGAACUGAGACACGGUCCAGACUCCUACGGGAGGCAGCAGUAGGGAAUCUUCCGCAAUGGGCGAACGCCUGACGGAGCAACGCCGCGUGAGUGAUGAAGGUCUUCGGAUCGUAAAACUCUGUUAUUAGGGAAGAACAUAUGUGUAAGUAACUGUGCACAUCUUGACGGUACCUAAUCAGAAAGCCACGGCUAACUACGUG
rnacentral:rRNA from 1 species